rnacentral:rRNA from 1 species
AUUGAACGCUGGCGGAAUGCUUUACACAUGCAAGUCGAACGGCAGCACGGGGGCAACCCUGGUGGCGAGUGGCGAACGGGUGAGUAAUACAUCGGAACGUGCCCGGUCGUGGGGGAUAACGUAGCGACAGUUACGCUAAUACCGCAUACGAUCUGAGGAUGAAAGCGGGGGACCUUCGGGCCUCGCGCGAUCGGCGCGGCCGAUGUCAGAUUAGGUAGUUGGUGGGGUAAAGGCCUACCAAGCCGACGAUCUGUAGCUGGUCUGAGAGGACGACCAGCCACACUGGGACUGAGACACGGCCCAGACUCCUACGGGAGGCAGCAGUGGGGAAUUUUGGACAAUGGGCGCAAGCCUGAUCCAGCCAUUCCGCGUGCAGGACGAAGGCCUUCGGGUUGUAAACUGCUUUUGUAUGGAACGAAAAGGCUCUGGCUAAUACCUGGGGCUCAUGACGGUACCGUAAGAAUAAGCACCGGCUAACUACGUG